GGCUGCAAUAAAAGCAGUGCUAGGGUGUGAGCUAGUCGUCUUUUUUGCUUCUCGGCUCUCCGCAGGACGCUUUCGCAGAGCAGACGGCUAUACACUUUACUAGGUAGUUUCCAGGCCGUGUCUUCUGCAUUUUUUAGAACUGACUGCUACGGCCAGGGCAGAAUAACUACUGUCGUGAACUAACUAAUUACUUGUGCAAGUCAAUUAUAACUUCUGGUGCACUGGAAAUCCCCCUCUACAGUCGUCUACGUCAUACAGUCCUGUGUAGGAUUUGUGCAAGUCAACAGGCUGUGCCAGUGAUAAGUUCGUGACCGGUUGAACUAGUCGCGGAGCCGAUGGCGACUUUCUACAAGUGGAUAAGCAUCUGCCCAGUCGAGUCGUGUGCACUGGACUACAAGAAAGAACCGCCAACUGAAUGGAUCAUUGUGAAAUGUGGGGGCACCUCAUAUCUCGGAGACAACGGUAUCUUUGCGUGCAGUCAUAUGAUAGUUGGCUCCAGUAGUUGCAAGUCAUGUCCACACGGAAACCGGGAGUUUCCCUUCGUCGAAUCCGCCUUCAAAUGCAGCAGACAUGGUACUCAGUUCAAGAGGAUGGAGAACCCAGACACACUUGUCGCUAGCAUGAACGCUGCGUAUAACAUGAUCUUUCUAACACGGCCUCAUGGCGUCGAGGAUACACAUUUCAUGAGGUGGUUAGCUCGCAGUAGCAGAGCGAUCCGCGAGCAGUAUGUGGGUCAUUAGGCUGAGAGCAGUGCAAGUCUCUUCCUGUUCAUUGUCCCUCUCACUCUUCCUCUCUCCUUCCCUCCCUUCACUGUCUCAAUUUACCCUCUAAUACCUUAGCCAUUGCCGAGCCCCGCUGCUCCCUAUGCCUGACUGCAAGUGGUGCGCAAGCCAUGCAGUUCUUGUUCCUCAUUUUUGCUUCUUUUUCCCUCUAGUUUUCUGUGGUCUUAUUAUUACACGGAGAAGACGGAGAGUCCGAACGUGCACAUUUUUCAAGGCGGAGAGCCUUGAACAAUUACUCUCUCCCUCUUUCUGCUUCCGUCUGUAUAUCUUUCUGCAUGUUUCUCCAUCCGUCUGUCCGUCUGCUAGGCACCGGCGGAUUAUGCCGGCAUAAUUAUUGGCAUAAUUAGGUGGUUGAAAAUUUGGAGCAUAAUUUGGCAUCCUCAUA